rnacentral:rRNA from 1 species
CCAGAGAUGGUUUGGUGCUCGAAAGAGAGCCGUAACACAGGUGCUGCAUGGCUGUCGUCAGCUCGUGUCGUGAGAUGUUGGGUUAAGUCCCGCAACGAGCGCAACCCUUGUCAUUAGUUGCUACGAAAGGGCACUCUAAUGAGACUGCCGGUGACAAACCGGAGGAAGGUGGGGAUGACGUCAAGUCCUCAUGGCCCUUAUAGGUGGGGCUACACACGUCAUACAAUGGCUGGUACAAAGGGUUGCCAACCCGCGAGGGGGGAGCCAAUCCCAUAAAGCCAGUCGUAGUCCGGAUCGCAGUCUGCAACUCGACUGCGUGAAGUCGGAAUCGCUAGUAAUCGUGGAUCAGCAUGUCGCGGUGAAUACGUUCCCGGGCCUU